rnacentral:lncRNA from 1 species
GCUUGUCAGGGGGCUGUGAGUAACUGGCCAUAAACUGCAUUACAACCUGAUUACAAAACGCAUUCCCAAGACAUCCAGUUUCUUCUCCAACACGUAAAGUGCUUGGAAAUCAUCAUUCUUGUCCUGACAACAACAACAACAACAAAAAAGCCAAACAAACUGAAAUCAACAACUCCUCUUAGCUGCCAUAGAGAAUUGAGGUCACAAGGCAGAUGGCCAUCCCCAAAGCCUGGGAGACGGUAAGGUGAUACAGAGAAUUACAGUCCACUGGGAUCAGAGUUGCUGGAACUUCUGACAGAGUGCAAACAACAAGCGAAACAUACAUGGAGUGCACUGGAGACAUCCACGCUAGCGAUGUGGGUGUCCGCCCAGGAGGAGCCAGCUCACCUCCUCCAAGGCUCGCCUCUUCUCACAAGCUUCCGUUUGGCUGCUUUCCUCUUGAAGCAUUCCCUGAGUCUCCACACCUGAGUAUCACUCCUUCUGCUGAAACCCCCAAAACUGACCAGCAACCAGCAAAGCCUUCCGGCGCUGAGGUUUUUAAAUGUCAGGAUUCUGGAAAAGACGGGAAAUGAAGACUCGGAGGAGAGACAAAGUUGCUUGGUGCUAUGUGGCCUACUCCUUAAAUGACAGCUACAGGAAAAAGAAAGAGCAGCAGCCUAAGAGCCCCGAAGUCUCGGGGGCCUUAUCCUCAGCUGUCUCCUGGUCUGGACCCCAGCUGGAGUCCUGUGGGAACUAUGGAGGCUCAAGAGACCAAGCCCACCAACAGUGGAAGCCCUGGAAGCCAGAGAUCAAUUUCUCAACAAGGAACCUGGGCCCCAGCAAGGGAAGGAACUGGCUGAAGGACACACAGCUUAGAGAUGGCGGCAGGAGCUCCAGUUGCCCUUUCUGUGGCCUUGUGACUGUGACAAGAGGAUCCUGCCCCACUCACCUUCCCAGACCCCAAGGCAGCACACGUGAGAGAGCACAAGGAGAGAUGCCAACCCCAGGCCGGCCCUCCCUGCUGCCCCCUUCCAUUCCCACCCAGCGGUGCUGAAAGCUAAUUCCAGGUUGAAUCAAGCAGCUCUUCCUGACAGCCGCAGGAGCCUCGGAGAUGCUGCAGCCCCUGUCCCCAGCAACCUCGUUUCUAUUGCCUGGGAACCAAGUGUGCCGGCUGCCUCCCCUCCGGGGUCCCCUGUGCCUGCGACCACGGGCAGUGGGCCUGGGGCCUCUGCAGAGUCUGCACACAGAUGGAUGCAGAGCAAAUGAUACUCUCACCUGGGACCCACAGGGAAGCCACUCUGCUGGCUGGAGCCUGGAAAUCUUUCUAAAUUGAACGUUUCUCCGUGUCUAGACAAGAAGUAUUGCUGCCUGCCUGAAAUAUUAAAAUUUCAUGCUCUGCUCUCCAGAGAGACCUUUUGGCUGUAAACACAUGGAGCCUGUUUGGAUUUUCCUUCUUUCAUGUUCUCGAGUCCUCUUCGCCACGAGGGCUGUAGGCUGCUUGGCAGGGGAGGCAGCAGGCAUCUUAGAGGCUAUCUUGCCAGGGAUGUGUCCUGCAGUGACCCGGGAUAGCCAUUCGGCUUCGGGCCCUGAGCCUGUUUCCUCGUGUGGGCACGAGUUCGACCAUUCUGGCCCCGAGGGGUCACUGCAGGGCAGAGGACAAUAAAGAAGACGGCCACUGCACCCGGUGACCAGUGUGUCCUCGGAAUCAAUGUCCAGGUGUCCUUGGAAUGUGAUGGCAAUUAGAAACAGUUGUCUCAGAGCUGAUAGAGUUCAGAAGUGGCCAUGCUGGAACAGAGCAGAUCCUGAGCCAGCGUGACUGGGGGAGGAGCAAGAAAGGAC